rnacentral:tRNA from 1 species
GCCUGUGUGGCUCAGUCAGUUGAGUGUCUGACUUUGACUCAGGUCAUGAUCUCACGGUUUGUGGGUUCAAGCCCCACGUCAGGCU